rnacentral:lncRNA from 1 species
AGUUUUUAACAUGAACGAGCAGUUUCUUGCUGUCCGCCAUUAUUACCAUUGCUGCAAGUAUCCUGUGUUCGGCUUCUGUGCCAAGUGCUAACUUACGACAUUUUUUUCCAAGAGGAGGAGGAAUUGUGUUGGAAACGAAAGACGUUGGAAACAAAAUGAUUUCCAUUUUGAAUAGUUUUUAACAUGAACGAGCAGUUUCUUGCUGUCCGCCAUUAUUAUCAUUGCUGCAAGUAUCCUGUGUUCGGCUUCUGUGACAAGUGCUAACUUACGACAUUUUUUCCCAAGAGGAGGAGGAAUUGUGUUGGAAACGAAAGACGUCCCCAACGGCCGACGACGAGAUCCGGCCGGACAACCAGGAUUCCGGCCCAUUUACGGGAGUACGAUCUUCGGGGCCCCCGAUAGGUGGUCCCUUGUCACCCGCCUAACUGUACUGAUUCUUUGUGCCCUUUCCCCCCUGGUGUCAAUGUAAUGUUCUGGAGGGGGUCGGGCCCUCUCUGUCUCUAUCUAUCCAUACUACAAGUCAGUUCAAUACAAGUCAGGUUAGCAAUCUAAAA